ACAGUCACUGACAUUAGAUACCCGGGUAGUCCAGGGUGUAAACGCUGCAGACUUGGUGUUGGGAACCCUUCGGGGGUGCUCAGUGCCGGAGAGAAGUUGUUAAGUCUGCUACUUGGGGAGUACGUCCGCAAGGAUGAAACUUAAAGGAAUUGGCGGGGGAGCACCGCAACGGGAGGAGCGUGCGGUUUAAUUGGAUUCAACGCCGAAAAACUCACCAGCAGCGACUGUUACAUGAAAGUCAGGUUGAUGACCUUACUAGAUUUUCAG
rnacentral:rRNA from 1 species